AUCGUUAAUUACAAGAAUAAUAAGAUUACAACUACCCAACCCAAGAAUGAGAACAACACACCACAAUAUUUAAACCCUGCAAACAAACAACAAGCAGGAGACAAUGAAGUUGGUUAUAUUGAUCUGAAUGCAGGAGAACCAAUACCUAAUAAUGAUGUUAUAGUUCGGAAUUAUGAGGUGGUAAAGACAGAUUAUGAAGAAAUAAUGCAAAGUAACGAGAAACCAAAGAAUGA